rnacentral:rRNA from 2 species
CAUCCUCCAAGGCUAAAUACUCCUGACUGACCGAUAGUGAACCAGUACCGUGAGGGAAAGGCGAAAAGAACCCCGGCGAGGGGAGUGAAAAAGAACCUGAAACCGUGUACGUACAAGCAGUGGGAGCCCCACCACUAAGCCAGUGGUGAACUCCACAUACGCAUCCUUUGCUGAGGAUACGGUUAACGGAGCGAAAGCGACGUUCAACCUCAAAAGAAGCAGAGGGGGCUUAGUGGUGGGGUGACUGCGUACCUUUUGUAUAAUGGGUCAGCGACUUAUAUUCUGUAGCAAGGUUAACCGCAUAGGGGAGCCGGAGGGAAACCGAGUCUUAAUUGGGCGUUAAGUUGCAGGGUAUAGACCCGAAACCCGGUGAUCUAGCCAUGGGCAGGUUGAAGGUUGGGUAACACUAACUGGAGGACCGAACCGACUAAUGUUGAAAAAUUAGCGGAUGACCUGUGGCU